AUGAGCAAAAAAAACAAAAAAAAAACAGUAAAAAGCAAAAAGGAGAAAUGAUAUAGGCUGAGUAUUUACAAGGACAGCAGGUACGUUAGGUAGUUUUACAGUGUAUUGCAACCAUGGACCUAAACAGCGAGGACAGGACGGGGUUAAGGCCUCGAUUGUCCAUGAAACGACUACAUCAGGGAUGUUUUAAAGUGAAGGAGAAAAGACAUUUGAUCCAACUGCACCUGAAUCGUUCUGCAAAAACUUUAACAAAAAAAAAACAAAAACGCAGGAUUUAAAAAAAAAAAAAAAAAGGUCACUACCAUCGACACCGACGCACCAACUCAAAACUGGAGCACAGACCAUGAAGGAACACACCAUAUUUGUUAAAAAUGUUUAAAACACUUAUGGCUUUCCUUAUUUAUUCAUAUACAUAUAUAUAUAUAUAUAUGUAUAUAUAUAUAUAUUCUAUAGAGGAGAGGAGAAACUGUUUCUAGUAAAAUACGUUCUGUAAAGACGACCAUAGGGUUAAGGCACCUGUAAAGCGCUCUCUGUGCCUUUGGUUAAUACUGUGGUGUGCGUCCUCUGGGUUUAGUGCACACACAUAGUGCACACACAGAGCUACACAUCCUCCUUUUCAGACUUUCAGACUUUCGGAUUCUCGUGAGAUUCGCGUCUCGCUUCGGGCUCCACGCUACGUCCCUGCAGCUAAACCGCGGAGGCCAGGACCAAUCAGCACCUUUCUCUAGGAACUACUGGCAGCUUUGGGCAUUUUUUUUUUUUUUUUUUAAGUUUCAUUAUCGUUGUGAGAGAAAAUGUU